UGGGGAAUUUUGGACAAUGGGCGAAAGCCUGAUCCAGCAAUGCCGCAUGUGUGAAGAAGGCCUUCGGGUUGUAAAGCACUUUUGUCCGGAAAGAAAUCCUUGGCUCUAAUACAGUCGGGGGAUGACGGUACCGGAAGAAUAAGCACCGGCUAACUACGUGCCAGCAGCCGCGGUAAUACGUAGGGUGCAAGCGUUAAUCGGAAUUACUGGGCGUAAAGCGUGCGCAGGCGGUUUGCUAAGACCGAUGUGAAAUCCCCGGGCUCAACCUGGGAACUGCAUUGGUGACUGGCAGGCUAGAGUAUGGCAGAGGGGGGUAGAAUUCCACGUGUAGCAGUGAAAUGCGUAGAGAUGUGGAGGAAUACCGAUGGCGAAGGCAGCCCCCUGGGCCAAUACUGACGCUCAUGCACGAAAGCGUGGGGAGCAAAACAGGAUUAGAUACCCUGGUAGUCCACGCCCUAAAACGAUGUCAACUAGUUGUUGGGGAUUCAUUUCCUUAGUAACGUAGCUAACGCGUGAAGUUGACCGCCUGGGGAGUACGGUCGCAAGAUUAAAACUCAAAGGAAUUGACGGGGUCAUAGCUGUUUCCU
rnacentral:rRNA from 1 species